CCCGGGGCAACGCUCCGGCUCUCACUAGGGUGAACUCUAGCCCUGGAGCUACAGGCUAGAGUUCACUCUCACCACUUCCUGGUGGUCGCAGUAGUAAGAGUGAACUCUAGCCCCAUACACACACUGCCCCCCCACACACACACCAUACAUAUUCACACACUGCCCCCCCACACACAAUACACAUUCACACACUGCCCCUCCACACCCACACACUGAACCUCUCACACACAUUGCACCCCUCACACAUUGCACCACUGCUCCUAUACCCUACUGCAGCCCCAUAUCCCAGCAGACUCCAGGUAAGUUUGACUACUUACUCUGGGAGGGGGUGCCGACACUCCUG